UAAGGCAGAUAUAGGGCCCGUGUAGCUGAAAUUCCGUCGGUCAUAUGUCUGCCUGAUU
rnacentral:pre_miRNA from 2 species